AGAGUUUGAUCCUGGCUCAGGAUGAACGCUGGCGGCGUGCCUAACACAUGCAAGUCGAACGGGGUGCAGCAAUGCAUUCAGUGGCGGACGGGUGAGGAACACGUAGCUGAUGUGCCUUCAAGUCCGGGAUAACUUCCCGAAAGGGACGCUAAUACCGGAUAAGCUCACGAGCUUUAGAGGCUUGGGAGAAAAGGUUAACUGCUUGAAGAGCAGGCUGCGACCUAUCAGGUAGUUGGCGGGGUAAGAGCCCACCAAGCCGACGACGGGUAAGGGGUCUGAGAGGAUGACCCCUCACACUGGGACUGAGACACGGCCCAGACUCCUACGGGAGGCAGCAGUGAGGGAUAUUGCACAAUGGGGGAAACCCUGAUGCAGCGACGCCGCGUGGGUGAAGAAGGUCUUCGGAUCGUAAAGCCCUUUUCUGCAUGACGAGAACAGGACGGUAGUGCAGGAAUAAGCCUCGGCUAACUACGUGCCAGCAGCCGCGGUAAAACGUAGGAGGCGAGCGUUAUCCGGAGUUACUGGGCGUAAAGCGUGCGUAGGCGGUUUUGUAAGUGGGACGUGAAAGCUCCCGGCUAAACUGGGAGAGGACGACUCAGACUGCGGAACUAGAGGGCGAUAGAGGAGCGCGGAAUUUCGGGGUGUAGCGGUGAAAUGUGUAGAGAUCCCGAGGAACACCAGUGGUGCAAAACGGCGCUCUGGGUUGCUACUGACGCUGAGGCACGAAAAGCUUGGGGAGCGAACGGGAUAGAGACCCCGGUUAGUUCCAAGCCGUAAACGAUGUCAACUGGUNUCGCGUCUCGAAAGGGACUUGGGGUUGGCGAACCAACGCGGUAAGUUGACCGCCUGGGAAUUNCUGUCGCCANGGUUAAACUCAAAGGAAUUGACGGGGGCCCGCACAAAGCACCGGAGCGUGUGGUUUAAUUCGAGGCUACGCGAAGAACCUACCUAGGUUUUGACAUGCAAGUGGUAGUGAACUGAAAAGGGAACGACCUUCGGGAGCUUGCACAGGUGCUGCAUGGCUGUCGUCAGCUCGUGUCGUGAGAUGUUCGGUUAAGUCCGAAAACGAGCGCAACCCUCGGUGCAGUUACACGUGUUGGCGCGACUGCCCGUGAGAAACGGGAGGAAGGUGGGGAUGACGUCAAGUCAGCAUGGCUCUUUAUACCUAGGGCUACACACACGCUACAAUGGAUGCCACAGUGGGACGCGAACCNNUGACGGGGAGCCAAUCACUGAAAGGUAUUCGUAGUUCGGAUCGCAGGCUGCAACUGCCUGCAUGAAGCUGGAGUUGCUAGUAACCGCGCAUCAGCUACGGCGCGGUGAAUACGUUCCCGGGCCUUGUACACGCCGCCCGUCACGUCAUGGGAGCUGGUCACGCCUGAAGUCGGGAGCAGAACCGCCAAGCGACUGCNCCGCCGAAGGCAGGGCUGGUGACUGGGACGAAGUCGUAACAAGGUAGCUGUAGCGGANAGCUGCGGUCUGGAUCACCUCC
rnacentral:rRNA from 1 species